rnacentral:rRNA from 1 species
AAGUCGUAACAAGGUAACCGUAGGUGAACCUGCGGUUGGAUCAUUAAAAAAAUGUGAAAAGGUACCGCACCUUAUGCGGAUGCUGGUCGCCCGGUACGCCUUCGGUUGACUUACGUGGCCGUUUUCUCUCCUGCGCUCGUGGAACUACAUCUGCGGCGCUAGAAGGAAAAUUCAGCCGUGUAAGGGUGACAUCGCUGGCUGGAAAGGCGUCCGUUCUCCCCGUGGGAUGAACACUGUGGCUAACCUCUUGUGAACCGUAACGUCUUUGGUGGUGGGGCGGAUCUGCUUUCGACGAAAGCGUUUCUGUCUGUCAUCUUGCGUCGGAAAUUCCGAUGCAGGACGUGGACAAGCCACCGUUUGAUACCAAAACCUCUUUUUUGCUUUUGAACUGUCUGACAUACUUUUUUUGUAUUGAAUGAUACAAACAACUUUUGGCAACGGAUCUCUUGGCUCUCGCAACGAUGAAGAACGCAGCGAAAUGCGAUAAGUAGUGUGAAUUGCAGAAUUCAGUGAAUCAUCGAAUCUUUGAACGCACAUUGCGCUCCCUGGUAUUCCGGGGAGCAUGCCCGUUUCAGAACCAUUGUAAACUCUCGCAAUCUUUGCAUGUUUUCGAACGUGCGAGCUCUUUGUGGAUCUGGAUUUUUGCGAACUGAGCAAUCAUCCCAAAACCAUUGUGUGUGCACCAAUCGUGCGUCUUUUGGUUGGCCAAGUGCAACAGAGUAAUCUAUUUCGCUUUGGUCACCGGCUGCCGCCCCNUCCUGCGCAUGCUCCAACUUUGGCACGAGGCGUUCGAAUCGGAAUCGAUUGGGACUCUCAAUAACUUGGUCUGAAAUCGGGCAAGAAAACCCGCUGAACUUA